rnacentral:tRNA from 1 species
GCCGAAGUAGCUCAGGGGUAGAGGCACUUCCUUGGUAAGGAAGAGGUCGUGGGUUCAAAUCCCAUCUUUGGCUC